CCUCGUGAAUUCAUCUCCGGGGGUAGAGCACUGUUUCGGCAAGGGGGUCAUCCCGACUUACCAACCCGAUGCAAACUGCGAAUACCGGAGAAUGUUAUCACGGGAGACACACGGCGGGUGCUAACGUCCGUCGUGAAGAGGGAAACAACCCAGACCGCCAGCUAAGGUCCCAAAGUCAUGGUUAAGUGGGAAACGAUGUGGGAAGGCCCAGACAGCCAGGAUGUUGGCUUAGAAGCAGCCAUCAUUUAAAGAAAGCGUAAUAGCUCACUGGUCGAGUCGGCCUGCGCGGAAGAUGUAACGGGGCUAAACCAUGCACCGAAGCUGCGGCAGCGACACUAUGUGUUGUUGGGUAGGGGAGCGUUCUGUAAGCCUGUGAAGGUGUGCUGUGAGGCAUGCUGGAGGUAUCAGAAGUGCGAAUGCUGACAUAAGUAACGAUAAAGCGGGUGAAAAGCCCGCUCGCCGGAAGACCAAGGGUUCCUGUCCAACGUUAAUCGGGGCAGGGUGAGUCGACCCCUAAGGCGAGGCCGAAAGGCGUAGUCGAUGGGAAACAGGUUAAUAUUCCUGUACUUGGUGUUACUGCGAAGGGGGGACGGAGAAGGCUAUGUUGGCCGGGCGACGGUUGUCCCGGUUUAAGCGUGUAGGCUGGUUUUCCAGGCAAAUCCGGAAAAUCAAGGCUGAGGCGUGAUGACGAGGCACUACGGUGCUGAAGCAACAAAUGCCCUGCUUCCAGGAAAAGCCUCUAAGCAUCAGGUAACAUCAAAUCGUACCCCAAACCGACACAGGUGGUCAGGUAGAGAAUACCAAGGCGCUUGAGAGAACUCGGGUGAAGGAACUAGGCAAAAUGGUGCCGUAACUUCGGGAGAAGGCACGCUGAUAUGUAGGUGAAGCGACUUGCUCGUGGAGCUGAAAUCAGUCGAAGAUACCAGCUGGCUGCAACUGUUUAUUAAAAACACAGCACUGUGCAAACACGAAAGUGGACGUAUACGGUGUGACGCCUGCCCGGUGCCGGAAGGUUAAUUGAUGGGGUUAGCGCAAGCGAAGCUCUUGAUCGAAGCCCCGGUAAACGGCGGCCGUAACUAUAACGGUCCUAAGGUAGCGAAAUUCCUUGUCGGGUAAGUUCCGACCUGCACGAAUGGCGUAAUGAUGGCCAGGCUGUCUCCACCCGAGACUCAGUGAAAUUGAACUCGCUGUGAAGAUGCAGUGUACCCGCGGCAAGACGGAAAGACCCCGUGAACCUUUACUAUAGCUUGACACUGAACAUUGAGCCUUGAUGUGUAGGAUAGGUGGGAGGCUUGGAAGUGUGGACGCCAGUCUGCAUGGAGCCGACCUUGAAAUACCACCCUUUAAUGUUUGAUGUUCUAACGUUGACCCGUAAUCCGGGUUGCGGACAGUGUCUGGUGGGUAGUUUGACUGGGGCGGUCUCCUCCUAAAGAGUAACGGAGGAGCACGAAGGUUGGCUAAUCCUGGUCGGACAUCAGGAGGUUAGUGCAAUGGCAUAAGCCAGCUUGACUGCGAGCGUGACGGCGCGAGCAGGUGCGAAAGCAGGUCAUAGUGAUCCGGUGGUUCUGAAUGGAAGGGCCAUCGCUCAACGGAUAAAAGGUACUCCGGGGAUAACAGGCUGAUACCGCCCAAGAGUUCAUAUCGACGGCGGUGUUUGGCACCUCGAUGUCGGCUCAUCACAUCCUGGGGCUGAAGUAGGUCCCAAGGGUAUGGCUGUUCGCCAUUUAAAGUGGUACGCGAGCUGGGUUUAGAACGUCGUGAGACAGUUCGGUCCCUAUCUGCCGUGGGCGCUGGAGAACUGAGGGGGGCUGCUCCUAGUACGAGAGGACCGGAGUGGACGCAUCACUGGUGUUCGGGUUGUCAUGCCAAUGGCACUGCCCGGUAGCUAAAUGCGGAAGAGAUAAGUGCUGAAAGCAUCUAAGCACGAAACUUGCCCCGAGAUGAGUUCUCCCUGACUCCUUGAGAGUCCUGAAGGAACGUUGAAGACGACGACGUUGAUAGGCCGGGUGUGUAAGCGCAGCGAUGCGUUGAGCUAACCGGUACUAAUGAACCGUGAGGCUUAACCUUACAACGCCGAAGGUGUUU
rnacentral:rRNA from 1 species